AACGAACGCUGGCGGCAGGCCUAACACAUGCAAGUCGAGCGCCCGCUUCGGGGGGAGCGGCGGACGGGGGAGUAGCGCGGCGGAACGGGGCCUUUUCUACGGGAUAGCCUCUGUAAACUGGGAGUAAUACCGUAAACGCUCUGCUGGGAAAAGAUUUGUCGGAAAAGGAUAGGCCCGCGUUGGAUUAGGUAGUUGGUGGGGUAAUGGCCUAUCAAGCCGACGAUCGAUAGCUGGUUUGAGAGGCUGAUCAGCCACACUGGGAGUGAGACACGGCCCAGAAUCUUACGGGAGGCAGGAGUGGUGAAUCUUAGACAAUGGGGGCAAUCCUGAUCUAGCUAUGCCGCGUGAGUGAUGAAGGCCUUAGGGUUGUAAAGCUCUUUCAGCUGGGAAGAUAAUGACGGUACCAGCAGAAGAAGCCCCGGCUAACUCCGUG
rnacentral:rRNA from 1 species